UACGAAGGGGGCUAGCGUUGUUCGGAAUUACUGGGCGUAAAGCGUGCGCAGGCGGCUUCUCAAGUCAGGGGUGAAAGCCCAGAGCUCAACUCUGGAAUUGCCUUUGAGACUGAGUGGCUUGAGUACGAGAGAGGUGAGCGGAAUUCCCAGUGUAGAGGUGAAAUUCGUAGAUAUUGGGAAGAACACCGGUGGCGAAGGCGGCUCACUGGCUCGUAACUGACGCUCAUGCACGACAGCGUGGGGAUCAAACAGG
rnacentral:rRNA from 1 species